rfam:Acremonium chrysogenum ATCC 11550 scaffold38, whole genome shotgun sequence.
GGUGAGAUGGCCGAGUUGGUUAUGGCGUCAGGUUAAGGCUUACCUUAGCACUAAUUUCCUGGUGGAGCAAUCCUCCUGGGUUCGAGUCCCAGUCUCAUCA